rnacentral:precursor_RNA from 1 species
AGGGGUUCGAUAGAGGACUGUCGCUCGUUCUGGGGCACAUGUUUAGAUUCAGACCAUGCUUUAGUGCGAGCGCGUAUUUUUUUUGAGGCUU